GCCAGAGAACGGUCACAGCAUCACCCUAGGCUGGAUGAGUGCACGCAAGCCUGGAAGACAAGAUGGGCUCCAGAGGAGGCAAAGACAGAAGGUACAAUGGCCUCCCAGAAGGAAGAAGAACAAGAGACAAUAGUGAGCCUCUGCUGAGGGGAGAGACGGAGCUCAGUCUCAAGGCCUAAUGGACACUGGACUCGGACAUUCUGCACCAAGCCUGUCAGGAAACAAUAAUAAACAGUACUGCCCACACUGACAGGAAGGUCAGCCUUCCGGUCCAAAGCAAAUGUGCAUAACAAGAAAGGGAAGCGCUCUCCAGCUCUGAGGCUACGCCAGGUGGGCAGAAUGUGAUGGCGGGGCACAUCUCUCUUGGGAUAUGAAUUCUCUGACAGAAAUGGAAAGGCCAGCUUUGCCCUGGAAGGGUUGCCCAGUUCCCAAGCCUAUAUCAUGUGCUGGAGCUUCCAGAGUGUACCUUCCCCAGAAGGAAGAGCUUUGAAGAAAUGGUCUUUAAAUACUGUUGGAGACUAAGACGACUCCUGCUUGCUUGGGAUCCUCAUUCAGCUUCCACGUGGAUGAUGCUACCUUCAGAAGAAGCAGGGGCAUCUUCCAAGGGGAAGGGAACAAUGUUCCAGAUGUUAAGUCACCACAUGUCACCGCAGAUCGUCCAGCUGAGUUCACAAUACAACUCAGAGCCUGAAGAGGAAGCUGGCGUACGCAACAGGGGUGGCCUGGCACCGUGAUGGCUUUAAAACCCGGGCUCGUAAAAUAGGAUGGGAAAAUUCAUCUGCGAGUUUUACAGCCUACAAAAUUUGCAGUGUGUCUUUUAUGGAUGCUCUUUAAUGUUUCCCUGCAAGGAAGAUGAGCAUAGACCCAGGGGAAAGUGUGGGAUAUAAGGCUCCAGCUCCCUAUGUGGAAACCAGACAAGCCGUGUCUCCCUCUUCAGGAAGGGGUUCUUCGGUAGGCAGGCACACUCGGACAGCUCAGCCCAGUUUCUCUGGACCUCAAGCUACACACCAAGGGAUCCUAAUUCCAUUUGACUUGAAGUCACUUAUAAGGUGCAGGUGUUUGGGGGAGCUCUCCUUACAUUUGUUUAUUUUUAAGAAGCGUGCAUUGCUCAUGUGUAUAUUGUUAGACAUUGCCACGAAAACAGCACAGACUGUCCUACCAGCUUCUUUUUGUACGUUUUCUGUUUGUUUUGGUUCUUUCUUUGUUUGUUUUUGUUUUGCUUUUCGAGACAGGAUCUCACUAUGUACUCCUGACUGUCCCCAAGGCUGCCUCAAUCUCCUCCUUGAGAUAUGCCUGUCUCUGCCUCUCCAGUGCUAGGAUUUAAGGUGUACCUAACACGCCUGGCCCGAGCUGCUUUUUGUGAUGCUCACCCUUCUUGCUGAUGGUUCAAAACCCAGAGCCUCUCUUCUAACCUUGACCUCAAUUGCCUUCAGCCUAGACAAGCCCCCAGGGUAGCUAUGAGAGACCACCAUUUACCACGAAGAAAAGUGGGUGCUUUCUGGUGGGCAGACAGCACAGAACUCCUGCUCUAGAAACUUUGUGCCAACACCCGUACCACUGUCCACCCCGUAUACCUCCCCCGCCUCUCCUAGCCAAGCCCUCACAAAGUCAUUCCUUCCUGUGUGAGGGGACAAAUGCCUCCUAAUCCCGUCUCCACCUUAAUAUUUGAGACCAUGUCUCUUGCUGAACCCGGAGCUCACCAAUUGGCAGGACUGGCAGGCUCUGGGAUUUCACCUAUCUCCCCAGCCAGCACUAGAGUUACAGGCGUGUACCACUAUGCUGGGUGGGUGCUGCAAAUCCAAACUCAAGUCUUCCUUCUUGUGCAAUAGGCACUUUGCUGACUGAGCCAUCUCCCCAGCACUUGAAGUUCUCUUUGACUUUAAUCAACCCACCAUCAUUCAUCCUCUUGAUCCACUCUGGUUUCUCCUUUCUGAGAUGUCAAAGGUUACUUGGAUAUGGAGUCAGCAAUUUUAAGGGAGUAUCCUUCAUACAGUGGUCCAUGGAAAUGACGCCCCUGGAGCUGUGGAGCUGGAAGCUGUGCUUCCCGGUUCCACGAUUCAGCUCCAACAUCCAUUUCUGCCUGGAGGACAGCCAUGCUGGUGUGGAGGAAAAGCUGUUUCAAACUCUUCAACAGAUCCCUCGCUGAUUUCGAGGUAAAACCCACUCUGUGACAAAACCUCCAAGAUAUACUGGACCAAUGUGGCCCAGCCCCUGAUUCUCUCCUCAGUUUUAACUGAAUACUUCCAGGACCAACAUGGGAGACCUUAUGCUCUACCUGCACACCACUGGGAGAGUCUCCAAAGCUCCCACAGCACAGCCCACCCCUGUCCCUCGCUUCACAGUUCAUCUAGCCAAUUCCUAUUCAUCCCUCAGGGCCUACCCUCCAGCAUCACUUCCUCCAGGCUGUCCUCUUGGCCCACCUUGCCUACGUCCUCCCUCUCUGAACUUGAGUCUAGGCUAGCUGUUCCAUGUCUGGGCUCAGAUGGGCAGUCAGCCUGGUCUGGAGGUUUCACUCAGCCGGUGAUUCAACCAUUGCUGCACUCACGAAGGUACCUGUGUCCCCUUCCUCUUGUUCUCCUUGCAGCUGAUCUGAGCCGAAAGACUGAGAAGUAAAGCGGUCCUCUAGUCUCUCUAAACAAUUGAGUCACUCAUCCCAUCCCUCCCCCUCCCCCCGGGAAGAGAUUUCCACCAUCACCUACCCAGGCAGCUCCAGGUGCCAUGUGGAAUGUGACCAGACCCUCCCUGGCCUCUCUGCUCCUUCUCCUCUCCAGCAAUCCCUCCCUCCUAUCCACUCCCAGGGAGCUGAGUUUCCCCGGCUGGAGCCUGCAACAGGCAAGGCUGUUUCUGCUGCUCCCUAGCUAUCCGGUGGAGAUACCAUCUCUUCCUUUAGGAGCCGUUCCUACCCAGUAAACGGAAACCUGGCUGAGAGCCAAAACCAAUCAUCCUGAAAGGUAGCUGGCCCUUGGGAAGGAAAAGAAUCUCUGUCCAGCCUUGGCUUCUCCCUCCCAAGCUUCCUGACUCCUCCAUGAAUUUGCUGCAGUCUAUUAUUAAAAAAAAAAAAAAAACAUUGUACAAGGUAUAAUCACUGCACUUUUAGAGACAGAGGCAGAAAGAUUGGGAGUUCAAGGCUGGCCUGGAUCACAUGAGAUAUUGUCCCCUCCUGCCCUAAAGCAAAGCUUCUUUCUCUAGUCAAACUGUAAAGGGCAAAGAUGUAUCACGGAGUCUGAGACAUCUCAUUUCCUCCACACAUUCCCCUGUUUACAGAAGUGUCAGAUGUUCAAGAUCUAUAUAGUGAGUGGGAGACCAGCUACAUGAGACUCUGUCUCCAGAAACAAUAGCUAGAUAUGAGGGGACCAACAUAGUUCAGUGGUAAGACUCUUAAACAAUGAAAACAAAACAAACAAACAAAAAAAAAAACACAUGUUCAAGAUGGUAGAGUUCAUGCUACCAUAAUUUUCACUAAUUUUCCUACUCUUUUUUUUUUGUUUGUUUUGUUUUGUCUUGUCUUGUUUUUCAAGACAGGAUGGCCCUGGCUAUCUUGGAACCAGCUUGAUAGACCAGGCUGGCCUCGAACUUAGAGAUCUGCUUUAGCCUCCUGAGUGCUGGGAUUAAAGGCACGUGCCACCACACCUAGCUCUUAUUCUUUAGUUGAAAGCUUGGCACAAGAUGGAGAAGCAAGCUGCCAAGGCCUGCCCGGUAUGAUGAGAGUCGCCAGCAGCCCAGCACUUGUCUCCUGGCUCUUCCUUCCCUAUCACCCGUGUCUCCCCCACUAUUGGCUCAGCACCCUCAACAGAAACUCCUGCAGCACAGAUUGCCUUCCAGUCCUCAGAUGCCCUUGCGACCAGACGCCCUAUUGAUAAGAAUUCCUGUUGACCAAGCUUCUUCUGCAGCAGUCUGAGGAAGUGGCCACUUCCACGCCUGUGGACCUGUGGUCUUUAUUGUUUGCUUCAUGGUGGUGGUGGGUUUUCGGGUUUUUUUAGUUGGUUUGUUUGUUUUGUUUUGUUUUGUUUUGUUUUGUUUUGUUUUUUGAGUCAGGGUCUUCUGUGUCUAGCCUGGCUUCAAACUUGAACGCUAGUCCAUGAUGACCUUCAACUCCGGAUCCUCCUACGUCUACCAACCAAGUGCAUAUUGACAGGUGUGCACCACCAUGCCCAGCACACCUGCUGGAUGGUGUCCUGGUGGCAAAGGUGUCUGGUGAUACAUUGAGACUGGAAGGAUGGAUGAUGAAGAGCUGAAGGCUUUUACACACACACACACACACACACACACACACACCAGGAUGCUCCCAGGCCACUUGCUUUCAGGGACUUUCUCAGAUCUGGACCCCGUCCAUCUCCACAUCAGCUCUCUGGCGCCAUCUUGUGUGGGUUUCUGAAACCCCAAAGAUAGGGCUAUUUCUGUCUAAUAUUAUUUGUAAAUAACCAAAAGAAAAUUAUAUUGUAGAAUACAGUUUACUAUCUGAACUGAGUGUGUAAUCUGGGCACUGGGGAGAGUGAGCCUUGAGAACUAAGAACUGAGGCUACUUCCUCAAUUCUUCCUUCAAAUCCCUAAAACCCCCCUCAAAAGUAAAAAAUAAAGAGUAGCAGCCUAAACGGGAAGCCGUCGAAGAGAAAAGUGUGAUGAGGAUGCUAAUGUGUAGGCCUCCACGAUUGUGGGUUUCUGGUGAGGGUGUGAGUGA